UGAACUGAGACACAGCCAUCUGACGUGGCAGCCAUUUUGUCUGUGGAGUGUUGACGUCAGUGGGCAUUUUUUAUGGUUUAUUUUGGAUAGUUAGUUGACUAAAUAGGCUGUUAAAGAAGAAAAUAUUUGUUAUGAAGUGUUCCGAGUGCUUCAAGGCAAGAAAGAGUGAUUUUUGUGGCCAGGAAAUAUCACAAAAGAAUUAUACCUUUUUUCCAAACGCCAUUUUGGAUCGUUUUUGGUCAGAAAGAGGACAAAUUAUGCAUCAAAAACUCCAGGUGAGUAAACGGAUCACAGCUGGAGCUGCCACAUCCUCACAACGAGCACGCCAGAACAUUCAAAAUGACAGACUCCACGGACCGCUUGAGCUUUCACAAACUGUUGCUGGAAACACUGCGGGGGGACAGUUUUUGCAAAAGACCUCCAGUGUUCGAUACCAGCUUUAAGGGCUCUGGAGGAAAGCCGGGCGCUCGUCGCGAGCGGCGGUCCGCAGCUGAUGAGUUUCUAAAUGACAGGAGGUGGACGAGGCCGUAAGAAGGGAACCGAUGAAGGAUUCAGAGGGUUCAGAGAGCCAUGUGUGUCACCGCUGAUGUCAGGCGUCCAAACGUCCAGGGUGACAGCGGCGGCAKUAACGGCCUGAGUCAGAGGAUGACAUCAGCGCUUCGAGCUGUCAGACAGCUCUGUCAACCUUUUCGUACGAAAUGUGUGACUUUUUUUUAAACGGUACUGACGUCACCGUCUCCUUCAGCAGACAAAAUGGUGGGUGAGAGGAAGUUCUUGUUCACAGAGGGGUGAGUAAACACAGAAACAAAGACACAGAGACAGACGGGUCACCCUCGCCCACAUUCAUUCAAAAUGCAUCAGGUUAGGUUGUAUUUUCCAACCACACGAGCUCCCCAGAGGUAAGACAGCCGACAAACAAAAGCUUCUCGGGGUCACGCUGAUUUCGCCGUUUUGUUUUUCUGCUCAUUAGAGUACAGACGAGUGGGGCCGGCGUGAGUCAGUGGGCUCAUGAAUCAUUGUGGUUGGUGCAGGUAACCGUCGGGCUUCCAGAGAAUCAGCCUACCUGGUAUUACAUCAGUGAAGUUUCGGAGGAUUACAAAAUUCAAAGUGUGAAACAAAAAGGGGCAUUUGUGUUCGGUUGAAAAUGACAUCACCUGCCUAGAACUAUAAAUAUCCAUUACACUUUUUUGACAUUUGAUUUUGAAUCAAGCAAAUCAAACGGGAGGUGAAAAAUCCAAGAUUACAUGUUUACCGAGACCCACUCAUUUUCAAAUCUUUGUGUAACAACAGCACUCAUCAGUUCGGAAGAUAAGAGCGUGAAAAAGAGAUUACAUUUAAAGAAAACAGCAACGUUUAUUUGCUCUACCACACGGUUUUAUUUAUGUUGAAGAAAACUUAGUUUAGUAAACCACUUUAAAAUAAUCAGUGGGUAGUUGCAAUAUACAUGCGUUGAGAAAAUAAAAAAAUAAUCUAAGCGUGAGUCCUGAUCAAUCAUCCCAGG